CAGGAACCGAGCACUAAAAUAACCAAAGAAAGAGAGAGAAGCCAACAGAAGAGGGGGAAGGAAGAAAGAGGCGCAAGAGGAACAGCUGGUGCCUCUGGCUGCAUGUGCUUUCGUCGCCCCCUCCCCUCCCCUCCGCCUCAACGUGAGCGAUCGACAAAUCCGCUCCGUCCCUCAACAUCUCGCAAACCCCCUCCAACAAAUAAACAAGAAUCACCAACCAACAAAAUGCCCGCUCAGAAGCGGUCCCUCACGACGACGAGCCAUCGCCGCCUCAGCCUCCUCCUUUCUCCUCCGCCGUCCACCGCCGCUAAGGAGGAGGAGGACGACGAAGGGGAGCAGAAGCAGCAGUCGCCGCCGCCGCCGAAUCAGCAGCAGCCGAGGCUGCGAAGCAAGAAGAAGAUUCGGACGAGGAGGAGGAUGGAGGCAGCGGAACCGAGAAAGAUGAAUUCAUAGUUGUUAAACUGGCAGACAUACGCAGAGAAGUACAGUGCCCUAUAUGCUUAGGUAUAAUUCGCAAGACGAGGACAGUAAUGGAGUGUCUACAUCGCUUUUGUAGGGAAUGCAUUGACAAAUCAAUGCGACUUGGAAAUAAUGAGUGCCCUGCAUGCCGUACUCAUUGCGCAAGUAGGCGUUCUCUGAGGGAUGAUCCAAAUUAUGAUGCUCUAAUUGCUGCUUUAUAUCCAGAUAUCGAUAAGUAUGAGGAAGAGGAAUUGGCUUUCCAUGAAGAGGAGAAAAAUCGUAACAAGAAGAUUCAAGCUUCCAUAGCUGAAACAUUCCGACGACAAUCUGAAGCACUAGGAAAGCGGAGGCACCCAGCUAAAACCACAGCUGCAGCUUUUGUCAGGAGAUCACAAUACCGGAGCUCUCAUAGACGAAGACGUGGAAGAAGUAGUGCUAAUGACAAUACUGGAUCUGAGGACGAGGAAGAGGAAGAUGCCAAUGGUAAUGACGGCAAAGAGUCAUCCUCUGCAGAUGAGCCCUCUCCUGAAAGAAGGCAGAAGAGAUGUAGAAGAUGGCCUGCACCUCGGUCCUCGCCAGCUAGAAUCGCAGGAAAUACUGAUACUGUCGGUGAAGAAAAUGAUGAUAUAGAAACAAACAGAGACAACCGAGGUACCUCACCUCUUCGAGUAGGAAACAGAGAAAUGUUGGCAUGGGGAAAAGGUGGCGUUCGAAGCCAGAUCAGGCAUGGUAACUCUAGUGGAGCAAAUGGUAGGUUUGUCAAGGGUGGACGCAUAACCAAGUUAGUGGAAUACAUUCGUAACUUAGAGGGCAAUGAGAAUGAGUUGGAUGUACACCUUACCUUGCUUCCUAUGGAAGGAAAAAAUGUGCCUAAUAUAGAGAGGCCAUAUAUUUGCUGCCGACCAACUUUGUCCAUUAGACACCUUUGUCAAUUUAUUGCUCUUCAAACUUCAGUAAGUGCAGAAGAAAUUGAGAUUUUUGCAAGGAAGCCUCAAGAUGGAACUCUGGAGCUCAAGCAGUCUAUGGUGGUAGUUAAGGCUGAGUCUGAUCCUUUGAAGGAGCUGCAAGUAGUGGGGGCACAAGAAUCUCUUGCAGGCUUGCGCGAUUCUUUUACCGAUAGUAGAGGAGACAUGGUAUUGGUGUACCGCUUAAGGAUGCAAAGUUAGGAAAGCGUAUUGCGUGAAAUUCUUAUGGCAACAUCCAAUAUGCAAAAAUGUCCAUGACAAAUUUAUAUUUAUAAAAAGCAGAAUCCAUGAUGUUUGUCAAGUUGUCAUUCCUGUUACAUUAGUGUUGAACUCGCUUCAAAUCUUUGAAAGGAGUUGAAAGCCUAGAGAUGGAAAGAUGUACAAAGGGAAGACAGAUUUGCUCUAGUAAGGAAGAACCAUGCUUUUUUGCAAAUAGAAGGUGUCUAGGAUUUCUCCAUAUCUAUUUUGCUUCUUUUACGAGGAAGUGCAAUAAAAAGUGGUAUAUUCUGGUUAGUGCCUAGUGGUAAUGCGGAGAAUAUUGGAGUUGGCCUGUAUGUUCAAGCUUCCAAAUUUUAUCAUGACAAUAAAGGAAAAGUCACUGCAGAUAACAGUCAUUAGUCAUUUGAAGGUUUUAGGAGGAACCAAUGAACAUGGAAACCACAGAAGUUUCUAUAUAAGCGACACAUGCUGGAUAUGGUAAGAAAACAGGCUUUUUUGUUCAUACUUACGAUGGUGAUGGCUUAGCUUGUCUAGUUUACUUUGAUGCUUAUGAGUUUAUGAAGUCCUUUUUUUCAUUUAUGGAGGACAAGAAUAUAUUUUAUUAUCAUACAUGUGGAAGUUCAACUACCCUGUGCAAACAAAUUAGCAAAAAAAUUUCGGGCAAAGUUACUGCAAUAGCAUGUAAUUGUGUUGUCAGUCAAUUCAUUCAUGCACUGGUAAUCCACCAUUUUGCAGCGUGUGCGAGAGAUAUCCGAGAGGUAUAGUUAAAGUUUUCCUUGAAUUCCACUUCAUUCAAGUUUUCAAAUUGAUAGGAGACGCUAGGGAGUUGGAUAUUUACCUUUUAUUGUUUCUGUCUAGAGUUUGAAGCAUGUGCUGUGAGUAUAUCGUGAGUUUAGUUAUAGACUGCUAUGGAUGAUAUGGGAAUGGUUUGGUC